rnacentral:rRNA from 1 species
UUGGUGACUGAGCGGCGGACGGGUGAGUAACGCGUGGGUAACCUGCCUCAUACAGGGGGAUAACAGUUGGAAACGGCUGCUAAUACCGCAUAAGCGCACAGUACCGCAUGGUACGGUGUGAAAAACUCCGGUGGUAUGAGAUGGACCCGCGUCUGAUUAGGUAGUUGGUGGGGUAACGGCCUACCAAGCCGACGAUCAGUAGCCGACCUGAGAGGGUGACCGGCCACAUUGGGACUGAGACACGGCCCAAACUCCUACGGGAGGCAGCAGUGGGGAAUAUUGCACAAUGGGGGAAACCCUGAUGCAGCGACGCCGCGUGAGCGAUGAAGUAUUUCGGUAUGUAAAGCUCUAUCAGCAGGGAAGAAAAUGACGGUACCUGACUAAGAAGCCCCGGCUAACUACGUGCCAGCAGCCGCGGUAAUACGUAGGGGGCAAGCGUUAUCCGGAUUUACUGGGUGUAAAGGGAGCGUAGACGGCAUGGCAAGCCAGAUGUGAAAGCCCGGGGCUCAACCCUGGGACUGCAUUUGGAACUGUCAGGCUAGAGUGUCGGAGAGGAAAGCGGAAUUCCUAGUGUAGCGGUGAAAUGCGUAGAUAUUAGGAGGAACACCAGUGGCGAAGGCGGCUUUCUGGACGAUGACUGACGUUGA